GGCGCUAUAGUGUAGUGGUCAUCACUCGGGAUUUUGAUGUGUCCUCAAAGGCUGACUUUCCCGAAACCCAGGUUCGAACCCUGGUAGAGCCU